CUGGGAUCUCCGGGGUCUUGGUU
rnacentral:miRNA from 2 species